rnacentral:lncRNA from 1 species
AGAGUUAGGGAUAAAGCUGCUGUGACCUCCACCUCUUCAGGCUCACAGCUCUGAUCAACCCAGUUCCACAGACAGGAAAUCUGAUGCACAGCACUCGUAAGGGCCAAAGUUGUGUAGGCAAGAUAGCAGUUCUCCAGGGCCCAACUGGAGCGUGAGAGACUGAGCGAGUUGAGGUCUGAAGUCAUCCAGACUCCAACUCCAAUGAGACGUAUUUAUAAAAAUGAUAGGUCGGUGAUGCUAAACCCUUUGGAAAUGAAUUUGUUUCUCAGCUGCAGCCACAAACAUGCCUGGGGAAACCCAGGGAAUCAUGCAUUAUUUGCUAGAAACCAGGCUGCCUGUGUAAGUCUAAGGCAGAGGCAUGAUUAACUGUCAGCUACAGCAGAGGUCAGCUGUGAGCAUGUUCUCCUUCUCUGCCACUUCACUGCUCUGUGUCAGACUACUCCACUCACCUUCUUGAGGUUGAGACCAUGGGAGAUGUUAUCUGCUGUCAUGAAGGCUGCAAGCAGGUGUGUGAUGGCCCCCGCUUCCCCACAGUGUGGACGGAAGAGGAACGUGUUCAUACCACGCUGCCUAAACACACAGAAGGAGGACUCAGAGCAGAGGAACUCUCCUGAAGCAUCAUGUGUGUUCUCAUUUCAUGGCGUGAAAUGGGGCAGAUCUCUUCCACAUCAAAAGGAGAGAUCUCUUGCCUGGUGGCCUCAUCUUUU